rnacentral:rRNA from 1 species
UACGUAGGGUGCAAGCGUUGUCCGGAAUUAUUGGGCGUAAAGAGCUCGUAGGCGGUUUGUUGCGUCGGCUGUGAAAUCCCGAGGCUCAACCUCGGGUCUGCAGUCGAUACGAGCAAACUAGAGUGUUGCAGGGGAGACUGGAAUUCCUGGUGUAGCGGUGGAAUGCGCAGAUAUCAGGAGGAACACCGGUGGCGAAGGCGGGUCUCUGGGCAGUAACUGACGCUGGAGGAGCGAAAAGCCGUGGGGAGCGAACAGG